rnacentral:other from 1 species
GCAACCCUGCUGUGUGCGUGUAUCGGUUGCCGUAUAUAAAUCCAACACAAAUUUAAAAGGAAGUUCGGCCUCUGAGGUUACGAUUGCAGACCUCCCGGCUUUGCUGGACGAAGGGAGCAUGAACCCCUCAGGAGAACAUCCACCUGUCAGAGACGGGUUUUAUCAGGCAACAUUACGGCGCAGCGGGGGUUAU